UAAAAGAGGCCCCCUGGCUGUGUGCU
rnacentral:piRNA from 1 species